CAAGGAAUUUUCCACAAUGGGCGCAAGCCUGAUGGAGCAACGCCGCGUGCAGGAUGACGGCUUUCGGGUUGUAAACUGCUUUUUGGGGGAAGACUUCGACGGUACCCCCAGAAUAAGCCUCGGCUAACUCUGUGCCAGCAGCCGCGGUAAGACAGAGGAGGCAAGCGUUGUCCGGACUUACUGGGCGUAAAGCGUCCGCAGGUGGUCGUGCAAGUGCGCUGUGAAAGCGCUCGGCUUAACUGAGCGAGGCCAGUGCAGACUGCACAACUUGAGGCCGGGAGAGGUCGGUGGAAUUGCCGGUGUAGUGGUGAAAUGCGUAGAGAUCGGCAGGAACACCCAAGGGGAAGCCAGCUGACUGGCCCGGUCCUGACACUCAGGGACGACAGCGUGGGGAGCGAACCGGAUUAGAUACCCGGGUAGUCCACGCCGUAAACGAUGGACACUCGUCCUCUGCGUGGUAACCAGUCCACGUGGGUGGCUCAGCUAACGCGGAAGUCG
rnacentral:rRNA from 1 species